CGGGAGUGUUCUACAUCAGAUCAGGGACUACCCUUAUUCUGAAGAGACCAAAGCUACGUCAGCAAUCAAGCAGCAAGAGGACACAGAGAGGCAUGAAAGCACAGAAAAUUUAUGCAGCCUGAUUGUCAGAGUCCUAGAUUAUAAUUUUGGCUCUGUUACUUACUAGUUCUGUAAACUUGGAAAAGACCAUUAUGUGUUCGGUUUUAUUACGUGCUGGAUGCUGUGUUAAUUUUAAGGAGGUGAUGAUGUGUCUCCAGCUGUGAGGAAUGUCUCUGAACUAGUUAUAUUGACACUCACUAUUGCUUUUUACAACAGUUUAUUUCUAAAGUUCUUUUGUCUAUGUAUAGAGUGACACAGUAAUGACUAUACAUUUUCCCAGCCCCAAACCACAUAAAUACUCUGCAACAUUUUCU